UCAGGACGAACGCUGGCGGCGUGCCUAACACAUGCAAGUCGAGCGGAGACAGACGGAAAGCUUGCUUUUGUCUGUUUAGCGGCGGACGGGUGAGUAACGCGUGAGCAACCUGCCUUUAACAGGGGAAUAACGCAUCGAAAGAUGUGCUAAUACCGCAUAAGACCACAGCAUCACAUGGUGCAGGGGUCAAAGGAGCAAUCCGGUUAAAGAUGGGCUCGCGUCCGAUUAGCUGGUUGGUGAGACAACAGCCCACCAAGGCGACGAUCGGUAGCCGACCUGAGAGGGUGAUCGGCCACAUUGGAACUGAGAUACGGUCCAGACUCCUACGGGAGGCAGCAGUGGGGAAUAUUGGGCAAUGGGCGAAAAAGCCUGACCCAGCAACGCCGCGUGAGGGAAGAAGGGUUUCGGCUCGUAAACCUCUGUCCUAUGGGACGAAGGAAGUGACGGUACCAUAGGAGGAAGCCCCGGCUAACUACGUGCCAGCCGCCGC
rnacentral:rRNA from 1 species